GCUGGGAUGACAGGUGUGAGUCACCGCAUCUGGGCUAGAUUUUGCCUUGAUGGGUGGGAGGUAGGCAGGAAAGAUGCAAAGAGGCCGUCCCCAGAGUGAACGGAUGGAUGAGGCCGUCCCCAGAGUGAACGGAUGGAUGAGGCCGUCCCCAGAGUGAACGGAUGGAUGAGGCCGUCCCCAGAGUGAACGGAUGGAUGAGGCCGUCCCCAGAGUGAACGGAUGGAUGAGGCCGUCCCCAGAGUGAACGGAUGGAUGAGGCCGUCCCCAGAGGGAACGGAUGGAUGAGGCCGUCCCCAGAGGGAACGGAUGGAUGAGGCCGUCCCCAGAGGGAACGGAUGGAUGAGGCCGUCCCCAGAGGGAACGGAUGGAUGAGGCCGUCCCCAGAGGGAACGGAUGGAUGAGGCCGUCCCCAGAGUGAAUGGAUGAGCACCCAGCCUGAGCCCGGGAAGGUGCUGAGGGUUAGCACAGGCCGCCUGCUGCUGCAGGAGUGAGAGGGGCCCACUCAGGGAAAGAGGGGUUCAGGGGGAGCAGCCAGGUGUGUACAGAUGGCUGUAGCCAUGUGGAGGCGCGCGUGGGGACCGGCAGGCAGGCAGGGAGUUGGGCUUUCUUCUGGGAGCAGUAGGGAGCCACGGUUGACCGUGGAGCAGGGGAGAGACCUGGUUUGAUCUUGGUCUUGACUUCCAAGCCCCUUGGUCCCUCCGACCUUGGAGGCUGCUGGAAGGAGAGGGCAUCUCAUUUACCAUCCUGGCUGCUUCAUGGGGAUUUGGGAGAUAAAAAGCAGCUCUUUCAGUUUAACUUUGGUUGUAGGAGUCAC
rnacentral:lncRNA from 1 species